UACGUAGGUGGCAAGCGUUGUCCGGAAUUAUUGGGCGUAAAGCGCGCGCAGGUGGUUCUUUAAGUCUGAUGUGAAAGCCCACGGCUCAACCGUGGAGGGUCAUUGGAAACUGGGGAACUUGAGUGCAGAAGAGGAAAGCGGAAUUCCACGUGUAGCGGUGAAAUGCGUAGAGAUGUGGAGGAACACCAGUGGCGAAGGCGGCUUUUUGGUCUGUAACUGACGCUGAGGCGCGAAAGCGUGGGGAGCAAACAGG
rnacentral:rRNA from 1 species